rnacentral:rRNA from 1 species
AACGUAGGGGGCGAGCGUUGCCCGGAUUCACUGGGCGUAAAGCGGGUGUAGGCGGUUCUUUAAGUCGGAUGUGAAAUCCUACGGCUCAACCGUGGAACUGCAUCCGAUACUGGGGAACUUGAGGACGGUAGAGGUCGGUGGAAUUCCAGGUGUACCGGUGAAAUGGGCAGAUAUCAGGAGGAACACCGGUGGCGAAGGCGGGUCUCUGGGCAGUAACUGACGCUGAGGAGCGAAAGCGUGGGGAGCGAACAGG